rnacentral:rRNA from 1 species
UACGUAGGGUGCAAGCGUUGUCCGGAAUUAUUGGGCGUAAAGAGCUCGUAGGUGGCCUGUCGCGUCGGCUGUGAAAACUCGGGGCUCAACUCCGAGCCUGCACCCGAUACGGGCGGGCUAGAGUUCGGCAGGGGAGACUGGAAUUCCUGGUGUAGCGGUGGAAUGCGCAGAUAUCGGGAGGAACACCUGUGGCGAAGGCGGCCAUCUGGACGACAAUUGACGCUGAGACGCGAAAGCGUGGGUAGCAAACAGG